rnacentral:rRNA from 1 species
GACGAACGCUGGCGGCGUGCCUAAUACAUGCAAGUCGAGCGAAGCGGCGGAUGGGUGAGUAACGCGUGGGUAACCUGCCCUUAAGUCUGGGAUACCAUUUGGAAACAGAUGCUAAUACCGGAUACUAAAGGAUGGACCUGCGAUGCAUUAGCUAGUUGGUAAGGUAACGGCUUACCAAGGCGAUGAUGCAUAGUCUAGUUGGUAUACUGAUCGGCCACGUUGAGACGUAGGCACGGCCCAAACAACUAAGGGAGGCAGCAGUAUGGAUACUUCAACAAUGGACGAAAGUGUGAUGGAGCAACGCCGCGUGAGUGACGAAGGUUUUCGGAUCGUACAGCUCUGUUGUUGGUGAAGCGGUAAUCAACCAGAAAGUCACGGCUAACUACGUGCCAGCAGCCGCGGUAAUUC